GGCAGAAUGCCAGGAUUCGCUGCUUCCCACCUUUACAGGAUACUUCCAGCAGUAAUAGACGGUUAUUCUGUGUCGUCUUGCAGAGAGGGCAGGCAAACAGACCACCUGCUCCUGGGAUCCUGCUAAUAACCUAGCCUCCGGGAGGUACAUGAGAGUGACCUGAGGAAACAUCAAUUGCAGUGAAUAGACCCAACCACUGAUUCCAGUUGUUGAACUCUGAAACUGGCGGGCAGAAUAUAACUGAACUGCAUUGUAUGACUCCUUCUGCAAUCAAAUACACAUUCGGUAUUUAAAAAUGAGGUUCAGAAGUGUGAACCAGACCAGACAGGGAGCAAAAGGAGAUAGCAGAACACCAGUAUAGCAGAAAUAAGGUUUACCUAUUCUGAUCUCUAUCGGAAACAAAAUUAUGUAUUCACAUUAUUGGCAAAAUCUUUUAAAAACAUUAAUAAUAAUCCUUACAUUUGAUAA